AAAUGAAUUGACGGGGGCCCGCACAAGCGGAGGAACAUGUGGUUUAAUUCGAUGAUACGCGAGGAACCUUACCCGGGCUCGAACGGCAGAUGAACGAUGCAGAGAUGCAAAGGUCCUUCGGGACAUCUGUCGAGGUGCUGCAUGGUUGUCGUCAGCUCGUGUCGUGAGAUGUUGGCUUAAGUGCCAUAACGAGCGCAACCCUUGUCGCCAGUUACCAUCAAGUAAGGUUGGGGACUCUGGCGAGACUGCCACCGCAAGGUGUGAGGAAGGCGGGGAUGACGUCAAAUCAGCACGGCCCUUACGUCCGGGGCGACACACGUGUUACAAUGGCGACCACAGAGGGAAGCCACCUGGCAACAGGGAGCAGAUCUCGAAAAGUCGUCUCAGUUCGGAUUGGAGUCUGCAACUCGACUCCAUGAAGCUGGAUUCGCUAGUAAUCGCGCAUCAGCCAUGGCGCGGUGAAUACGUUCCCGGGCCUUGUACACACCGCCCGU
rnacentral:rRNA from 1 species